AAAAAAAAAAAAAAUCUCUCCUCUCGUCGCACUCUUCCCCCCGAAUCCAACACUAACCCUAAAUCGCAGCGGCGGGCGGCGGCGGCGGCGGCGCGAUGGAGGAGGACGCGGAGGGGAUGGACCGGUUCGACAUGGACGGCGACUUCGAGGGCGGCCGGUUCGGCAGGGACGGCGAGUUCUACUACGAGCGCCGCCGCGAGCGCGCGCCGCAGACGCGCGACGACGCGCUCUACGGCGUCUUCGCCGAGGGCGACUCCGACUACGACUCCGACGACGGCCGCCGCCGCAGCCGCCGCAAGCGCCGCAGGGACGAGGCCGAGCCCGACCUCUCGCGCCCCGUCCACUUCCAGUCCGCCGGCAAGUUCAUGCCCAGCAAGGAGCCCGAGCCCGAGCUCGAGGAGAGGCCCGGCCUUGGCGCCGCUGCCUCCGCCUCCGCCUCCGCCUCCGCGGCGGGUGAGGAUGAUGCGGCGGAGGAGGAGGAGGAUCUCGACCUGCCCACGGCGUUCGGGCAGCGGAUCGCGGAGGGCGCGAGGGCGAGGCGGGAGGAGAGGGCGCGGGAGCGGGAGACGGCCGCGCGGCGCAGGCAGGCGUCGGGGGUGGCCUCCGGGAAGCCGGCGCCGGCUCUGGGGAGCCUGGGGUCCAACACGAAGGUGGCCAAGAUGAUGGCCAUGAUGGGGUACAAGGAUGGGAUGGGGCUCGGCAAGAACGAGCAAGGUAUAGUCGCGCCGGUGGAGACCACUCUGCGCCCCAAGAACGCCGGUCUCGGAAGCGUCGAGGGGUUCAAGGAGCCCAAGCCAUUCUUUACUAAGGAGAAUUUGCCGCCUCCGCCUCCACCGGCGCCCGCCAAGAAGGAGCAGCAGAGGUGGUCGAAGAAGGCCGGUGCGAAGAAAGGCCCCGUGCUGACGAAGAACGAGUUGCUGGCGAUGCGCAGCGAGCAGGAGCAGGACGAGCAGCCUACGGUUGUGCAGAAGGUGAUCGACAUGCGAGGGCCUCAGGCACGCGUGCUAACGGACUUGAAGGGGCUCAACGUGGAGCAGGAGAUGGAGGCGAACGAUGUGCCGAUGCCAGAGUUGCAAUACAAUGUGAGGCUGCUUGUCGAUGAGGCCAAGGCUGAUAUUGUGAGGCUGGAUGGGCAGCUGCGACGGGAGCAGGAGAAGGUGGCAAGCUUAGUGCGGGAGAAGGAGAAAGUGGCAAAACAGGAGGCUUUGCAGAAACGCCAACUACAAGUUAUGGAGAAGAUUGCAGGAGUGCUGGAGCAGGUCCGAGUGGAUGAUACUGCAGGUAUUCUCUCUCUGGAAGGGUUGCUUAAGACCUUUCAGGAAUUGAAGGCAUGCUACGUGGAGGAAUUCAAGAUGUGCAGUGUUGCAUGGAUUGCCUGCCGGUUUGCUCAUCCGCUACUAAUCCGAGUCUUCCAGGGGUGGCAACCACUGCAAAAUCCGUUGUUUGGCUUGGAGAUCAUGUCAUCAUGGAAAGAUUUGCUGCAGGGGGAUCAAGCAUAUGACUUCUCAGGUGAUGUUGAAUCGAUGGCUCCAUAUGCACAAUUGGUUUGCGAGGUCAUCCUACCCGCUGUGAGGAUAUCAGGAACCAAUUCAUGGGAGGCUAGGGAUCCAGAACCAAUGCUUCGGUUUCUUGAAUCAUGGGAACGGUUGCUGCCCCCUAUCGUGCUCCAGUCAAUAUUGGAGCAUGUCAUAAUGCCAAAGCUUUCAGCUGCAGUAGAUUCUUGGGACCCACGCAGGGAGAAGGUACCAAUCCAUGUAUGGGUGCAUCCAUGGUUGCCAAUGCUAGGACAGAGGAUAGAUACCUUGUGCCAUUCUAUUCGAUACAAACUGAGUAGUGUUCUCCAUGUUUGGCAAGCUCACGAUGCAUCAGCCUAUGCUGUGUUGUCUCCAUGGAAGGAUGUAUUUGAUGCCGCAAGCUGGGAAGACUUGAUUGUGCGUUAUAUCGUACCAAAAUUGAAAAUGGCACUUCAAGAAUUUCAGAUCAACCCUGCAAACCAGAAACUCGACCAGUUCAACUGGGUAAUGAUUUGGGCUUCUGCAAUUCCAGUACACCAUAUGGUCCAUAUGUUGGAAGUAGAUUUCUUCAGCAAGUGGCAGCAGGUCCUGUACCAUUGGCUGUGUUCACCAAAUCCUGAUUUCAAUGAAAUCAUGAACUGGUACAAGGGCUGGAAGGGCCUUUUCCCACCAGAAUUGCUUGCCAAUGAGCGCAUACGGAUGCUUUUAACGGCUGGCCUUGACAUGAUGAACCGAGCUGCUGAAGGCCUUGAGGUGGUGCAACCUGGCGCUAGGGAAAAUGUGGGCUACUUGAGAGCAACAGAGAAGAGGCAAUUUGAUGCAGCACAGCAAGCAUCACAAUACAUGACUCACCAUGCGGUGCCAGGAGCAGCCAUGGCGGAUAUGAGCUUUAAGGAGUCUAUCCAGGCAUAUGCAAUGGACCAAGGCUUAUUGUUUAUGCCCAGAGUUGGUAAAUUCUACAAUGGUAUGCCAGUGUAUGAGUUUGGCACCGUAAGUAUUUGCAUCGACUCUGUGAAGCGCCUACUCUACGCACAACUUCAAGAAGGAAUUGAGAGAUGGAGUGCUGUCUCUCUUACACAAUUGAUAGAAAUGAACCGGAAGGCGAGGCAACGCUAGUUGAUCAUCCUAUUGUGUACUAUUACUAAAAGGACAUUUCAGCAUUCUUGCCUAGUGUUGCUAUAAAGAAAUGCUUGGUCAAGCAAGAACGGUAAUAUAGAAAAGGUAAAAUCAUUUGAUGGACAUGGGAUUCUUUAUUUUCUCUAAGAAGAUAGCUGCUGCCAUUGUUCAUUGUCAAGGAAACUCAAAAGCUUGAUGAAUAUUGCUUCUUUAUUAGAUCAUACUUAGAUAACCUGUAUGACUGCUAUAGGAAUGAGUGAAAAUGUAUGUCAAUUUGUUGUGGAUGUGGGAGGUGUGAUCUCAUUUCAUGUUAUGACAUUAUACAUGUAAAUGUAACUGAGGUUAUGGUGGUUUUAUAAAUUGUUCAUUCUGUGAA